GACGGACGCUGGCGGCGUGCUUAACACAUGCAAGUCGAACGAUGAAGCCGGAGCUUGCUCUGGUGAAUUAGUGGCGAACGGGUGAGUAACACGUGAGUAACCUGCCCUUGACUCUGGGAUAACUGCGGGAAACUGUAGCUAAUACCGGAUACGACCCUCGGAGGCAUCUCCUGAGGGUGGAAAGAAUUUCGGUCAAGGAUGGACUCGCGGCCUAUCAGCUAGUUGGUGAGGUAAAGGCGCACCAAGGCGACGACGGGUAGCCGGCCUGAGAGGGGGACCGGCCACGCGGGGACUGAUGCACGGCGCAGAGUCCUACGGGAGUCAGCGGUGGGGAAUAGUGCACAAGGGGCGCAAGCCUGAUGCAGCAACGCCGCGUGAGGGAUGACGGCCUUCGGGUUGUAAACCUCUUUUAGCAGGGAAGAAGCGAAAGUGACGGUACCUGCAGAAAAAGCACCGGCUAACUACGUGCCAGCAGCCGCCGUAA
rnacentral:rRNA from 1 species